UAGGGAAUAUUGGACAAUGGGCGAAAGCCUGAUCCAGCAACGCCGCGUGUGCGAUGACGGCCUUCGGGUUAUAAAGCACUUUUAGAGGAGAUGAGAAAGGACAGUAUCCUCUGAAUAAGCCUCGGCGAACUACGUGCCAGCAGCCGCGGUAAAACGUAGGAGGCUAGCGUUAUCCGGAUUUAUUGGGCGUAAAGCGCGUGCAGGCGGUUUAUCAAGAUGGAUGUGAAAGCUCCUGGCUUAACUGGGAGAGGUCGUUCAAAACUGAUAGACUAGAGGAUGGUAGAGGGAGGUGGAAUUCCGGGUGUAGUGGUGAAAUGCGUAGAUAUCCGGAGGAACACCAGUGGCGAAAGCGGCCUCCUGGGCCAUUUCUGACGCUAAGACGCGAAAGCUAGGGUAGCAAACGG
rnacentral:rRNA from 1 species